GCCUGGCUGGCUCAGUUGGUAGAGCAUGAGACUCUUGAUCUCAGGGUCGUGAGUUCAAACCCCAUGUUGGGCA
rnacentral:tRNA from 2 species